rnacentral:rRNA from 1 species
AACGUCGCAAGACCAAAGAGGGGGACCUUCGGGCCUCUUGCCAUCGGAUGUGCCCAGAUGGGAUUAGCUAGUAGGUGGGGUAACGGCUCACCUAGGCGACAAUCCCUAGCUGGUCUGAGAGGAUGACCAGCCACACUGGAACUGAGACACGGUCCAGACUCCUACGGGAGGCAGCAGUGGGGAAUAUUGCACAAUGGGCGCAAGCCUGAUGCAGCCAUGCCGCGUGUAUGAAGAAGGCCUUCGGGUUGUAAAGUACUUUCAGCGGGGAGGAAGGGAGUAAAGUUAAUACCUUUGCUCAUUGACGUUACCCGCAGAAGAAGCACCGGCUAGCUCCGUGCCAGCAGCCGCGGUAAUACGGAGGGUGCAAGCGUUAAUCGGAAUUACUGGGCGUAAAGCGCACGCAGGCGGUUUUGUUAAGUCAGAUGUGAAAUCCCCGGGCUCAACCUGGGAACUGCAUCUGAUACUGGCAAGCUUGAGUCUCGUAGAGGGGGGUAGAAUUCCUGGUGUAGCGGUGAAAUGCGUAG